GGGGCUGAUUAGGAUUCGACAGGAUCUAGGACGCCGGAGGUGCAUGCAGAGGUGCGGCUGGCCUCUUAAAAAAGCCGCAUUUAAAUAGUCGCAAACGACGAAACUUACGCACUAGCCGCUUAAUAACCGGUAUAGGCCCUUCCACCCUAGUCUUUUCCUGCUAGCGGGGAUUCGGAAGGUCAUCCAAGUAGGAUAGCGAGGGAACCUUGUCUGAGGGUGAACCGCGAAACAGUAUCAGGCCAGCUGCAA
rnacentral:tmRNA from 1 species